AGCAGCCUGUCCAUUUGCUUUCAUCCUAUUGAGUCCCUGUCUGUUGAGCCAAUUGGAAUCCCAUGAAGGAGGCAAAGAGUGAGAAGCUGACGAAACCAGAGGGGCUUCUUUGUCACUAGUUUAUAGAUACCACCAGCUAUAAACAUCCUGGAAAAGGAAGCGGAAGUUGCUAGCCUUUGCAGAACCAGCAUCUCCCCAGCAGAGUUUAAAGGAAAUUUCGGAACGAGUUCUCUCAGACACAAGGCAGCUCUCAAGGCACUCUGACUCUCCUCAGAUUUGCUAAUGGGAAUAUUUCAUGUCUCCUGACAUCGGCUUACUGUGGGAGAGCUGCAGAGAACUGGCUCCAUCCAGCUCAGCACCUCGAAUCAACGCAGCAACUGAACCACUUGGAAGCCAUCUGUGAAAGCAUAGCCAAGCAACCCGGGGUCCCACCAAAACCUUCAGCCUGGAAAGCAGUCAAUUUGGCGUGUCAGUGACCCUCUGUCUAAAACCCAUUAAGAAGUAAUAACCUGCCUCGGCCAUUCUGAUUCUGAUA